UGGCAUAUCGAUUACUGACCAAGCAAAGACAUCAGUGUUUGCUCUCAGUAAGUCUACUAGUUGCUUCCACUCCGGAUCAGAUAGUCGUGACCCAAUUUAAAUAGUUUUUGUAGGGUCGUCUUCUCUAAGUGGGAUCAAAAUCAAUUGUUCAGUGGGCUCACCCUUUUCUUCAUUCUCUCUCUAAUCUAGUUUGUCAACUG
rnacentral:lncRNA from 1 species